GACCCUACGGGACGCAGCAGUGAGGAAUAUUGGUCAAUGGGCGGUAGCCUGAACCAGCCAAGUAGCGUGAAGGAUGAAGGUUCUAUGGAUUGUAAACUUCUUUUAUAAAGGAAUAAAAUGAGUCACGUGUGCCUUUUUGUAUGUACUUUAUGAAUAAGGAUCGGCUAACUCCGUGCCAGCAGCCGCGGUAAUACGGAGGGUCCGAGCGUUAUCCGGAUUUAUUGGGGUUAAAGGGAGCGUAGAUGGGUUGUUAAGUCAGUUGUGACAGUUUGCGGC
rnacentral:rRNA from 1 species